rnacentral:sRNA from 1 species
GUUCCUGUCUCAUUUCUGGUUAUCAAGCGCGGCAGCGAUGAUGAUGGGUGGACAGUUGAUUAUACAAGUAGUCACUAUUAAAUUACUGUUACUGGUGGGUACUGAACUUUCAUCCUACUACAUCUUCAGUCACGCAUGCAGCAUUCGAUAGUGUAGCGGUACCACUGUUCAAGUAGAGGCCGGAAAGCACCUGAAGCUACAAUAGUUUCGUUGUCCUCAGUCGUUUGUAUUCAAUUGAACUAGAAGCUCCGAAUGUAGUCGAUUGACUGGUAG